GCAGAGCAUCCUACGGGAGGCAGCAGUGGGGAAUAUUGCACAAUGGGCGCAAGCCUGAUGCAGCCAUGGCCGCGUGUAUGUAAGAAGGCCUUCGGGUUGUAAAGUACUUUCAGCAGUGAGGAAGGUGGAUAUGUUAAUAGCAUAUUCAUUUGACGUUAGCUGCAGAAGAAGCACCGGCUAACUCCGUGCCAGCAGCCGCGGUAAUACGGAGGGUGCGAGCGUUAAUCGGAAUUACUGGGCGUAAAGCGCAUGCAGGUGGUUUGUUAAGUCAGAUGUGAAAGCCCGGGGCUCAACCUCGGAAUUGCAUUUGAAACUGGCAAACUAGAGUACUGUAGAGGGGGUAGAAUUUCAGGUGUAGCGGUGAAAUGCGUAGAGAUCUGAAGGAAUACCGGUGGCGAAGGCGGCCCCCUGGACAGAUACUGACACUCAGAUGCGAAAGCGUGGGGAGCAAACAGGAUUAGAUACCCUGGUAG
rnacentral:rRNA from 1 species